GACCGAGAGGUGAAAGUGGGGGACCGCAAGGCCUCACGCGAUUGGAUGAGCCGAUGCCGGAUUAGCUAGUUGGUGGGGUAAAGGCCCACCAAGGCGACGAUCCGUAGCUGGUCUGAGAGGAUGAUCAGCCACACUGGGACUGAGACACGGCCCAGACUCCUACGGGAGGCAGCAGUGGGGAAUAUUGGACAAUGGGCGCAAGCCUGAUCCAGCCAUGCCGCGUGUGUGAAGAAGGCCUUCGGGUUGUAAAGCACUUUCGUUCGGGAAGAAAUCGUGCGGAUUAAUACUUCGUACGGAUGACGGUACCGAAAGAAUAAGCACCGGCUAACUUCGUGCCAGCAGCCGCGGUAAUACGAAGGGUGCAAGCGUUACUCGGAAUCACUGGGCGUAAAGCGUGCGUAGGCGGUUCGUUAAGUCUGCUGUGAAAGCCCUGGGCUCAACCUGGGAACUGCAGUGGAU
rnacentral:rRNA from 1 species